rnacentral:siRNA from 1 species
GGUGUGUCAUCUAUGGAAGCAUAA